CGUUGUCCGGAUUUAUUGGGCGUAAAGGGCUCGUAGGUGGUUGAUCGCGUCGGAAGUGUAAUCUUGGGGCUUAACCCUGAGCGUGCUUUCGAUACGGGUUGACUUGAGGAAGGUAGGGGAGAAUGGAAUUCCUGGUGGAGCGGUGGAAUGCGCAGAUAUCAGGAGGAACACCAGUGGCGAAGGCGGUUCUCUGGGCCUUUCCUGACGCUGAGGAGCGAAAGCGUGGGGAGCGAACAGGCUUAGAUACCCUGGUAGUCCACGCUGUAAACGGUGGGUACUAGGUGUGGGGUCCAUUCCACGGGUUCCGCGCCGUAGCUAACGCUUUAAGUACCCCGCCUGGGGAGUACGGCCGCAAGGCUAAAACUCAAAGGAAUUGACGGGGCCCCGCACAAGCGGCGGAGCAUGCGGAUUAAUUCGAUGCAACGCGUAGAACCUUACCUGGGUUUGACAUGGAUCGGGAGUGCUCAGAGAUGGGUGUGCCUCUUUUGGGGUCGGUUCACAGGUGGUGCGUGGCUGUCGUCAGCUCGUGUCGUGAGAUGUUGGGUUAAGUCCCGCAACGAGCGCAACCCUUGUUCACUGUUGCCAGCACGUUAUGGUGGGGACUCAGUGGAGACCGCCGGGGUCAACUCGGAGGAAGGUGGGGAUGACGUCAAGUCAUCAUGCCCCUUAUGUCCAGGGCUUCACGCAUGCUACAAUGGCUGGUACAGAGAGUGGCGAGCCUGUGAGGGUGAGCGAAUCUCGGAAAGCCGGUCUCAGUUCGGAUUGGGGUCUGCAACUCGACCUCAUGAAGUCGGAGUCGCUAGUAAUC
rnacentral:rRNA from 1 species